rnacentral:lncRNA from 1 species
GCUUAUCUUGCAUUUAUAUUUGGCUAAAUUACAGAAAACCCCUCUGUCAAAACCCGAUUUUUCACUUUCCCCCCUGUCACUUAAAAACCUAUACUUUGCCCCCUUAUAAAAUAAAAAAUAUGCACUUCACCCCCUACCGUUAGUGAGCUGUUAAGGUUCCGUUAUAAAAUAUUUUUUAUGCCAAAAAUACCCCUCCGCCCUCUUCUCUCCUCCACUGCCUCGCCCUCGUCCAUAUCUCCGUCUACGCCCACAAACACCCCUUCGCCCUCCUCCGCCGCCUUGCCUUCGCCCUCGUUAGUCUUGCCCACUUCUCCAUCCACGCCUACCUUGAUUUCCUUCCUACUGUCGCCGAAAUCGAGGGGCGGCGAGGGUGCAGGAGAAGAAGGAGAGUAGGUGGAGAAGAAAAUGGAGAGAAACCGCGGCCGAUCGAGGCGGCGGUUGAGGAAGAUGAGGGAGGAAACAAAAAUGGUAAGGGGCAAAUAGUCAUUUUAUCAUCACAGUACACACCGUACCCCCCUGUGAACAUAUUUUAUUUUACAAGAGGGCAAAGUGGAGGUUUUUAAAGGAUAGGGGGGAAAGUGAAAAAUCGGAUUUUGACGAGAGGGUUUUAUGUAAUUUAGCCUUUAUAUUGAAUUACAAAUUUAUCCUUCUGAACCCCAAAACCUUUACAAAACGUCAUUUUCAAAAUUAUAAUUUCAUUUUUAAAUUCUCAAAUUUUAAAAUUUAAAAUUUAAAUUUUAAAUUUUAAAUUUUAAAUUUCAAUAUUUAAAUUUUAAAUUUCAAAUUUUUAAAUUCAAGUUUCAAGUUUCAAAAGUUUAAAUUUUAAAUUUUAAAAUUUAAAAUUUAAAAUUUUGAACUUCAAAUAUAGAUUUUAAAUUCUAAAUUUUAAAUUUAGAUUUUAAAUUUUAAAUUUUACAUUUAUAUUUAUAUUUUAAAUUUCAAAUUUCAAAUUUUAAGUUUUAAAUUUUAAAUGUAUACAUUUUAUAUUUAUAUUUUAUAUUAAAAUAUUAAAUUUUAUGUUUUUAUUUAGAUUUAAAAUUUAAAAUUUAAAAUUUAAAAUUUAAAAUUCAAAUUCAAAUUUUAAAUUAUUUAAAAUAAAUUUUAAUAAAAAAAUUAUUAUUUAUAAAUAGUAAAAAAAAUUUGCCAAAUAUGACUAAGGACAAUUUUUUGGAAAUAGAUUAUAUUUUGUUGUGAGGAUUACUAAAUUUUGUAAACUGAACCAAACAUAGUAAUACUAUAUAUACAAUGCAAUUCAAUAUUAUAUUACUAUAUUAAAUCAAACGCAAAUCAAACGCAUUAAUGCAGUAUCAGUAAGAAUCUCACUUAGAAAUUCAAAAUACCUUGAUAUGUUGAAAUUAUCAGUAAUGUUAUAUAACGCAAACUAAACGUGCCCUAAAAGCUUUUCUAUUCCCGAUUGCCUUUUAUAAAUGUGGUAGAAGUCUUUUUAUCUUAAUAGAUGUGAAAAGAGCAUGCUCAACAAUCUCACAACAGACCGUCCCUAGAGCAAGUGGCAAAGAGUUUGGUGGUUGAUAUCCGAGACCCAAGUUCGAAUUCUAGUUGACUCAUAUUUUCAGCUAAGUUUAUUUCUAAAUGAAAUAAACGAAGCCGGUAGCGUGCUACCUAUCUCUAAAAAAAAAACAAUCUGACAUCAGACAACACAUCAAAAUCAAUCACCUUUGAUUUUGCUGUUUACG